rnacentral:rRNA from 1 species
UACGAAGGGGGCUAGCGUUGUUCGGAAUUACUGGGCGUAAAGCGCACGUAGGCGGAUUGUUAAGUUAGGGGUGAAAUCCCGGGGCUCAACCCCGGAACUGCAUUCGAUACUGGCAGGCUAGAGACCGGAAGAGGUGGGUGGAAUACCCAGUGUAGAGGUGAAAUUCGUAGAUAUUGGGUGGAACACCGGUGGCGAAGGCGGCUCACUGGUCCGGUUCUGACGCUGAGGCGCGAAAGCGUGGGGAGCAAACAGG